GGAUUGUUACGUCUAGCAAAUAUGGCAGCCAUUCUCGCACAACUUGAACUGAAAAUAUAUAAAUUUUGACGAGGAUUAUGCAAAUGUGCCGUAUAGAAAGUAAGGCAACUAAGAAGGUACCAUAGGUUUUUAAAUUUUGACAGGCGAAUGCUUUAGAAUUAUGUGAACAUUUUUUAUGCCAGAAAGAUGGAUUUGAGUAGCUGGAAAUAUAGAGGUCAAGGGAUGAAGCCCGAGAGAAGCCGUUUUUCAAGGUAGUCGAUUCCUUCUUGAACUGUAGCACUCUGGCAUUGUUGUCACAACCUAUAUGCUUGUACAGUCAGUUGGAGUCUGGAACUGUGGAACGUGUUAAAUAUCGAAUCAUUUUCUGGAAAAUUGAGGUCUAAAAAAUCUGAUAAAGUAUUUUUAACCCCCCAAUAUCUCAAACUAGUGUUUGGAAAAAAUGUUUGGGGCAUUUUGUUUUCGAAAAAAAAACCAUGUCGGUCGAACUCCCGCUUUGAUGGGCUUAACAGGGGUGUGCUUAUUCACAGGUGGGCCUAUUCACAGGUGGGCUUUGGUGUUAGUAAUAUUUAUUGCAAUUUACUGGAAACUACACCGUAAACAAAAGGAAAUAUGAUAAUAAAUAGAUAUAAACACAUAAUAAAAAGUUGGUUAACAUAAUGCACCUAUCAAUGUUAAGCCCCAGAGGGGGUGGGGGGUCCGGCAUAGGUGGGGCAUUUGAUUUUUUGAGCAAAUUUUCAAUCAAAUGCCCCACCGUCGGGCAAUAAAUAUUGGUCAAAUGCCCCACCAUUUUGCAAUAAAUUGCAAUAAAUACUAUAUUAAUAAAAGUCAUUCGGUUCAAAUUGCCCCAACUCGGGGCCAAAAUGCUAAUCAAACUCCCCAGGGUGGGGAUGCAAUUGAUGAUCAAAUACCCCACAUAUGCCCGACCUCCCCCCCCCCCUCUGGGGGUUAACAUUGAUAGGUGCAUAAUAAUACUGCAUAAACUGUAUGUACAAUUUAAUUAUUGCAAUUUGUCCGAGGUGUUUAAAUCCCAGUCGGUAUAAAAAUCAGCAUCAAUUUUGUUUCAAUCUUCGCCAUCCCUCAGCCAUCAGUAAUAAUUUCACCUUGGUCUCAAUCAUCGUCGUCUUGCUGUUUCAUAACCCUCUAAUAUUAAUACCUGUCCAAUAUAAGCCGAAUAGGCGUAACUUGUAUUCAUAAGUAAUUUGCAGUACAAUUUAUUGAAACAUUCAAUUUUGGCAAUUUCUUCCCUUUUUCAAAAGCUUUUUUUGCACUUUUGUUCCCAAGGCAAUUUGCACAGUGCACCAGGAAUUUAACCCAGUAACCAGAAUAGGUGGGGUUCCAUGAUCAUUUCGUGAUUCAAAACCCACUUACCCUGUCUUUAAAUAAGUCCUCAUUUAAGGGGGAGAUAUAUUAAACCCUCACACUAAGAUUUCUUAUUUGUUCGAAGAAAUCAAGUUAUUAAAGCCAUUAUUAUACUCUGUCAAACACUAGGCAAUUUUUUCAUUACUUGGGGGGAUAGGGCUCAAUAUGGGUUAAGUACUAGUUAAUUUAAAACAUGAGCAGCCAAUCUUUAUCUGAUAUACAAACUUGAGCCAAAGGCAAGAUCUUAAUACAAGCUCACUGGAUAAGUAUUUUUAAACAUUGUCUAAGCCAAGAAAAUCAAAGCUGAUUAGUUUAUGUAAAUCAGGACAAAUCUUAAUUCAAUUUACAAACAUUGAUUAAACAAAUUUCUUUUGAAUUUUCUUCAUGAAUUACUAAUGAGUAUUUUAAGCAAUAACAGCUAUAGUUUUCUUUUGAAAUAUUGCCUGAAAAGAGCAAUUUAUGUAUUUUCAGUAUAAAAUUUAAUAUACGAAAUGUAUUAAAAUAAUAGGGUACAUAAUAGUCUAUAGUCUCAUGCAGUGCCUCUGCUAGGCCGCAUUGUACAAGGUUAUGGGUAAAUGAAGCAUGGAAAACCCACCAUAUGCUGUUCCAAAAACAUGGACACUGUUUUUUUGCCUUUUUGUUUCGUUUUAGUUGAGAUGCCAAUUAUGAAAAAUAAUUUUGAGGGAAACCAGCAUUCCUGGAGAAAAACCCUCACCGCAAUGAACCACAAGAGACAAG
rnacentral:lncRNA from 1 species